rnacentral:lncRNA from 1 species
UGAAUUUGGCCAUAAUCAAAAUUAAUUGGACCACAAUUACAAUAUAAUUGACCAAUUGAUUUCAUUUUCGCCAAAAUCUAAAUGAGAUUGAUUAAAUUUAUAUCUAUUUUUUUUAAUGAAAAAAUACAUAAAGUAGCAUAUUUAAGUAUUAAAUUAUAUAAAAUAAAAAUAUUUUUAUCAAACUACAUUUUAUAGCAUAUGUAUUUGUAUGUAUUUGUAUUUUUGUAGCAGCAGUUUGUAAAAAUACAAAAUACAUAUCGAUCAUAAGAGCAGUGAAAAUCAUAUGUAUUUGUACUUUUGUAGCAACAGUUUAUAAAAAUACAAAAUAUAUUUUGUUAUAUCAUGUAAUUAUGAAGCUGUUGCUAUGAAACUCAUAAUUAAGGAGAUAAAUAUGUUAUUUCUGAAUUUUGCCCCUUUUUAAUAGCCUAAAACUAAAUCCAUGUUCCUAAAUUUCCAAAGAUCAUUUGCCUUCACUAGUUGACCCAAUCGCUCAGCCCAUCAACCGACCCAAUACACAAACCGCCCCAGGCCCAAAACCAGCUCCGACUCGGUCAGCCUCAUAUUUCUCUUCUCCUUUACAACAGUCGAACAACAGUACGCGACAACAACAGUAAAACAUCGACUCAACAACAACUAUCAAGAACAUUCCAACAAUUUCUCCCAUAUUCUCCUAAUUUUGUACCAAAUACGCGUGAAACAUGACAAAAACCUUCUAGAAAUAUUAUAAUUCCUAGAAUUUUUCCAAAAUGUCUAAUCCCCAAAAUUCAAAAUUCAAAUUUGUGCUAGAGUAUCAAUCUCCUCAAAUUCGUUUUCCCUCUCAAGAUUCCUCCCAAAGUCCUUUCAAAUUCGGGAAUGUUCUAGAAUUUGACACUCGACGCGAUUCCAUUCGUUGGUAGUACAAAUAAGGAUGGAAACGCCUCUCAUCAUCGUCCACCACCAAGAUUAAUCUAUAACCAUUAGAUCAAAAGAUUUUCCAUUUGAAAAUUCCCAAAAUACCCUCAAAGAUGCUUGCUCCCGUAUCGAUUGUAGCCUAAAUAAUCAAUCCCCGAUUGUUUCUAUAAAAGCUCAAUGUGGAGCUGAAAUCGCAAGCGUCAGAAGGUGAUAAAGAAACCUCUGAGCAAAAAAUCUUGAAAAUUUUGAGUGAGAGAAAUUUCAAUUUGUAAAUCCAUUGAAAAUUCUCUUGGUUUGGAUCUCAAUUUCAAUUAAGUCUCUCUAUUGGAUCAUGAAACACUAUGAUUCAGUGCAGUAAAUCCAUAAAAAUAGGACCAAGGAUCUUCAUCCUUAAAACCAUUGAAAUCUGAAAAUAACUACACUAUUAAGUGUGAGUUCAAUAGUCUUCAAGUCUUUUGUCUUGCUAGAAGGCUAUGGAUACCUGUCUGAUCAUCUUGUGAUUGAACUUGGUGUAGUAAUAUCUACAAACUUACUUAUUCCUAUCUAAAGAUGCGUGGUUUUAAUUAUUUUCUUGUGAAGUUCAAGUUGUAAUCGGUUGUACCCCAUUUAGCCUAAUGAAUCAAAUUUUCCCCAAAGGUGAUUUGAUAUCAUAUUGUUCUCUUUUUAGUCGGGUUUCUGUUUGAAUAGAGCUCUAAUUUAGUUUGCUUGUAGUUAAUCAUUGAUAGGAUGGAGGUUUUCUUAUUUUGUUUGAUUUUUAAGUAUAUGAAAUCAUUGAUCUGAGUAUCACUUAAGACUUCAAUUCUUUUUUCUUAUUUUCUUUUUUUUAUGUGAUCCACGAUGGACUCCCUCCCACUGCAUUUUCUAAUGGGCCAAUGAGGCCUAUCUCCUCAAAUUCUAAGUUGGUCAUAUGGCGUACAAGUGCAAGAAAAUAGAAGAAGAAAACGGGUCAAAACCUAGUGAUGAAGUCGCAGAGAGACUUGAAAGUCUCAAUUUUUUUGUUACUUUUGUAUUUAAUUUAUUUCUUUAUUUAUUCAUUCAUUUUGGGCCAACACAAAUUGUAAUUUAAUACAGGUGAAACAAGUUUUGGGCCUUAGAGUUUCGAAAAAAAUAUUUAGGACAAGUUGUGGGCCGAAAAACCCAUAUGAUUAGAUUAAGACAGGUGCAGGGGGCCAAAAAUCUAAUUAGACUAGGACAGGUUCAUUUGGAAGAUUUCGGCCCAAGAGUCUAGGUCUUUAAUUUUUCUUUUUACCCCCUUGCCAUGGUUGUUGUCUACUAAUUCUCGAACACUUAGUUAAAAUUUCCAUUAAGUUAUCAAAAAACUCAUUUUGCACAAAUCUCUAAAAAUAAUUUUUUCCUUAAUCAAUUUCUUUCUCAAAACAAACUUUUUUUUUCAAAGUUAGUCAAAAAGUUGCUUUUAAAUAGUUCGGACAGCAACAAAUUAGUGGACAUUUUACGUGUCUUAAAUAGCUUCCUAAAAUGUUGAUAAGAACCUCUUAUCCAGAAUUUUUUCAAAAAAUCUAAGUUCUUUUUGUUUUAAAGACUUAGAAUUUUUCUUUAAAGAUUUUCUUGAUUUUUUCUAAAUAAAUUAAGAGGAGACUCUAUUUUUAAAAAUCAAAUUUGAAAACUUUUUUCAAAGUAUUGAAUUUGUAAAGAUUGCAAAAGUCAUCUUUUCCCCGUAAAACAAAAAUGACGAUUCUGUUGGAAAAUUUCAACUAUGUACUAACCAAAUAUUUGAACUAACUUCUUUGACUAACUAUUUGAGUUUGUAAUAUUUAAAUUUUUUGUUUGCUUAUGUGUUUAAAUUUCUGCUAAAUUUAAAUUGUUGCAUUUCAUGGAAUAAUUUCAUAUUUGAGAUAUAUAAGCUGUUUGGGGUUUUGUGGUUGUUGCAGCCCCUAUUGUUCAAUUUCAAAUGAAGUAUUGGAAAUACAAUGGUUUAUUGGUACGUUAGGCAUCCGAUGACUGUUUGUAUUUUCAAACCCACGUUGUCCACUUGGGAACCUGAUCCAAGCUCACUCUAUGCACCUAGGAUAGAGCAAAACCAAAACCCUCUAGAGAACCUAUCCUACGUCUAUUGGUCAUGAGUCAAUUACAGAUGAAUCAUACUUAUGUGUUGAAAGAAUAUAUGUUAAUUAAUCUAAUCCAUUAUUCUUUAGAGUAGGGGGAAGACUUACUUUGUUUGCUUAUUUGUAGGAAUGGCUCAACCGGCCCCUUGUAGAAGAUUUAAAAU